rnacentral:lncRNA from 1 species
UUACAAAAAGCAAAUCAGCUUUGACGACUUGCGUUUUUUAGAAGAAACUUUCUUCCAAAGGCCUUUAACCCCUUGCACUCGAGAGCCCCCGGUACCGGGGGCAACCCUCGCUGUGCUACACAACGACGCUCGUAGCCGGCUACCGCUUCGACCAAAACACACUUAUCAUACAUCAAAUUGUCAAGCAGAAACUCCUCAACAAAAGUAUCCACUCCAAACUCAAAUCAUUGUAACACAGCUCAAACCCCUAGCAAUAAAACACCAACAUGUCUAGAAUUGAAGUUUUGACCAGGUAAUUGUUUUUGCUUCUGGGUUUUCAAAAGACGAAACGCAGAACUACGAACAAGAUAUCAAAAGAAAGCUAACAACUCACUGAAUCGAUCGGUGUAAAGCUUAUUUGCACAGCAGUAAACAUGUUCAGCAGAGACCGCAUCAAACUGCACAAAAAACACCAGCAAAUCAAAAUAAAACAUGCAAAUGCGGACUUACCUUUGCUGUUUCUUUGCUCUGCUAUGCUCCACUGUUCCAAGUUUUUUCACUGGACAAGAGUAAGAUGGCACCGUCCUGUUGACGCCAUUUUGGCUCUAAAAGACCCCGUAUUUCAGCCACAACAGGGCAAAACGCAGAAACUGGGACUCGGAGUGGCUCUUACAGCGCCUGUACGAGCUCGCCUGUGAUUCGCCAGGGCUUCUGUCCGUCACAGAAUGAGUGGUAUCAUUCGAUUCUGUAGAAUCUCCCCUUUCAGGGGAUAUUUUGAGCUCGCUGAUUGGAUAAAAUUUCGUGGAGUUAGCCCUGCGCGUAAGACUGCGUCGUCAUUUCAGCUUCGACGCACAGAGCGCAUGACGCAUGAGGAAGAAGUAGCUAUCGUAUUUUCGAACAGAUUUUUAAACUUUUUAUCACCACAUCAUGGCUUUUAGAGGGAAAAAGCGCUUUUACACUCUCGAGGAGACACAGGAUAUAGUACUUGGAGACAUGGAAUUUGAAGACAUUGUACUUCAAGACUACUCUUCUGACGAGUCCGAUCUGUUGGCCACAACCAGCCGGUCAAAUUAUGAAUAUCCCCCAGAUGAAAGUGCUCCUUCAAAUACACAAAGUGUGUCUGCCCCUCCCUCCAAGGAAGCCACUGUCAGGCCGCGAAAAGCACUCUCCAAGAGCAAGACGGGGAGAGCCAGUCCUGCUGCCACAUUACCUGCUCCUAGUGAUCGCUGGAAAAAUCGUGAUGAGGAGGACACUGCCCCCAAUCCACGCCGUUUUGUGCCAGCAAGAGACACAGGACCUGUUUUGGACAAAAACGCUUCAUGGACAGUCCUGCAGUUGUUCCAGCUGUUUUUUAGCAGUGCCACUGUGAAUACAAUUAUUGUAAACACAAACACUAAUGCUGAAAGGCAAAAGCAGGCUGGAAAAAAAUACAAAUGGACUCCAUUGACUCUAUACUGCUGUUCACAGGACUUGUCUGUGCACACACAAGACAGGAUUAUAAUGGUCCAAUUUGCAGAUGCUGAGGAGACUGCUGAGGAAACACCAAAUACCUGCAUGCCAGUUUAUUUUGGGUAGGAUGCCACUGCCAUGAGAAAGUACUGCAAAAAAUGCUUUGACGCAGGGGACAAACGGGUAAAGACUCCUGUGUACUGCAGAAAGUGUCAGGUACCUCACCUCCAAAAAUAACUGUUUUGUCGCCUGGCAUGAUGCUAUGUGAAGUUUUUUGUUUUAUUUUACUUUUGAUUACCUGUGUGCGUGUUUACUGUAUAUAGUUUUUGCAAUAAAGUGUGCUGAAAUAUAUAAAUUGCGUCUUUACUUUUAGAAAAAAAAAGUAUUUUUAUGACCAAAUAUGUAAAAGUAUCCCAAAUUUUCAUUUUCAUUGAGAUAUUCCAUAUUUC